rnacentral:rRNA from 1 species
CUCAGGAUGAACGCUAGCGGCAGGCUUAACACAUGCAAGUCGAGGGGCAGCGGGAUGUAGCAAUACAUUGCCGGCGACCGCGGAUGGGUGCGUAACGCGUAUGCAACCUACCUUAUACAGGGGAAUAACCUUUCGAAAGGGAGACUAACACCCCAUGGUAUUGAUUUAAGGCAUCUUAGAUUAAUUAAAUAUUUAUAGGUAUAAGAUGGGCAUGCGUAUGAUUAGCUAGUUGGUAAGGUAACGGCUUACCAAGGCGACGAUCAUUAGGGGGUUCUGAGAGGAAGGUCCCCCACACUGGUACUGAGACACGGACCAGACUCCUACGGGAGGCAGCAGUGAGGAAUAUUGGUCAAUGGGCGCAAGCCUGAACCAGCCAUGCCGCGUGCAAGGAAGACGGCCUUAUGGGUUGUAAACUGCUUUUACAUAAGACUAACCGUAUAUUUGCGAAUAUACCUGAAUGUAUUAUGAGAAUAAGGAUCGGCUAACUCCGUGCCAGCCGCCGC